UAGUACAGCUUACUCUGGAGACAUACAAGGAUAGCCUCUUCUUCCUGACACAGCCCAGAAGUGCUUCAAGCAGGACUCAAGUACUGUGCCAAUACUGCCUUACCUGUCAAAAGGAAAAGAUAAAAUUUUAUUGUCAAUGACAUACAGCAUGUGGCCUGAGGCUAAAACAUCGAAGUUCUGCAGAAACAAGUCUGUUUGAGAGAAGAAUCCUGAAAAUGACAAUGCAUAUAUUUGCUUGAAUUCAUUAGAUCACUGUAAAUAAACAGCAAUGUGGGCUGAAUGGGAUUCACCAGUUUUUC